rnacentral:rRNA from 1 species
UACGUAGGGUGCGAGCGUUGUCCGGAAUUAUUGGGCGUAAAGAGCUCGUAGGCGGUUUGUCACGUCGGAUGUGAAACCCCGGGGCUUAACUCCGGGCCUGCAUUCGAUACGGGCUGACUAGAGUUCGGCAGGGGAGACUGGAAUUCCUGGUGUAGCGGUGAAAUGCGCAGAUAUCAGGAGGAACACCGGUGGCGAAGGCGGCCUGCUGGGCAGUUGCUGACACUGAGGCGCGACAGCGUGGGGAGCAAACAGG